UACGUAGGGUGCGAGCGUUAAUCGGAAUUACUGGGCGUAAAGCGUGCGCAGGCGGCGUCGUAAGUCGGGUGUGAAAUUUCGGAGCUUAACUCCGAAACUGCAUUCGAUACUGCGGUGCUUGAGGACUGGAGAGGAGACUGGAAUUUACGGUGUAGCAGUGAAAUGCGUAGAGAUCGUAAGGAAGACCAGUGGCGAAGGCGGGUCUCUGGACAGUUCCUGACACUGAGGCACGAAGGCUAGGGGAGCAAACGGG
rnacentral:rRNA from 1 species